GGAUCUUCUCUCUUUUCAUUGAAUGGAGCACUAUGGGAAUGGGAUUGUGUGCGCGUUUUCACGGUUUGCCGGAUUUGUAGAGAGGUUAGUAGGGGGGGAGAGAUUCUAGAGUUUGAUAACAUUUUUUCAACUCGUUUUAGAGCGGAUUUCAGACUUUUUCUUGCUUUUCAAAAGUUGACGGCAGUUUUCUGUAUGCCUCCUGUUGCAUUUUGAAAAGUGGUGCUGGUUGGCGCAGCCGGCAACACUUUUGCCUUUCAAGUUGAGGGCCCGGGGUUCGAAACUUUUUGUGAAAAAUUUCUUUUUCUUCUUUUUUAUAAGGAAAACUCAGUUGAUCUUUCUUUAAUUUGAGAAAAAAAUCUAUGACACUUCAGAUUGUACUGGAAAAACUAGAAAACUUAAACUCUUCAGCAGCUCUUGUCGGUUGUACGUCUUCUGCCAACUUAAGUGGAAAUUUCCAUUGGGCAAGCCAUGGCGCAGUGGCUAACGCUUUUGUUUUUGAAGCACAAGGUCCCGGGUUCGAAAAUUUUUGCUCGAAUUUUCUUUUGCAUAUAUUUUUUGAUGAUAAACUGAUAUGUGCGGAAUUUGAU
ensembl:ncRNA Y69A2AR.37 ncRNA